rnacentral:rRNA from 1 species
GACGAACGCUGGCGGCGUGCUUAACACAUGCAAGUCGAACGGAAAGGCCCUGCUUUUGGGGGGGGCUCGAGGGGCGAACGGGUGAGUAACACGUGAGUAACCUGCCCUUGACUUUGGGAUAACUUCAGGAAACUGGGGCUAAUACCGGAUAGGAGCUCCUGCUGCAUGGUGGGGGUUGGAAAGUUUCGGCGGUUGGGGAUGGACUCGCGGCUUAUCAGCUUGUUGGUGGGGUAGUGGCUUACCAAGGCUUUGACGGGUAGCCGGCCUGAGAGGGUGACCGGCCACAUUGGGACUGAGAUACGGCCCAGACUCCUACGGGAGGCAGCAGUGGGGAAUAUUGCACAAUGGGCGGAAGCCUGAUGCAGCAACGCCGCGUGCGGGAUGACGGCCUUCGGGUUGUAAACCGCUUUCGCCUGUGACGAAGCGUGAGUGACGGUAAUGGGUAAAGAAGCACCGGCUAACUACGUG